AAUACUUUCUCGCGCUACUCCACAACGUAGCGCGAACACGUUUAUCAGUUUUGGUGUUCCCGUAGGUUUCUAAACCUGCGCCAUUGUCCGAUUAUCGCCAUGGAAUAAUUCUAGAAGCUUUUCAACCACUUUCAGAGUUUCAGCAGAUAUUACUGACACUAUCACCAUUCACUAAUCACUUUUGAAUUUUCAGAUCAAGUUAAAAAAGUUCACAUGGAGGAUUGCUUCAACUCAUCAUAUUUUUAUGGCAGAGUCCAAGCUGCAUGUACAGAUAUAUAUACUUCACAAUGAUAAGCAAAACGGGAUGGAGAUAGAACUGCAGAAAACACAGUGAAGGGAACGAUGAAAUUAUCUCGGCCUCAAACAUCUUUCGCGACAUUGCUUCCCUGUCCCUGCUUUCCCGUUCUACCCACCAUCUUCCCUGUGAUAAAAGCCCAUUUUCUUUGUCCAUAUUUUUUGACAAAGUUCUUGAGAAGUCUUCGUAUAACGAAGAAACAAAAAUCAUUUAGUAUGAAAAUCACAUCAAGAAGUUGAAAAAAAUAUGGUAAUAAAUAUGGAAACAUCAUUGGGAAGCCUUCGUUGGUAUACAACAAGCACUAGAUAAUCAUUCACGUGAUGUGUGUUUCAAAUUCAAAAGCUAGAGUGGUUGGACGUAGAUAUGGCUGUAUAAAAUACAUACUUCGUAUGAUAUUUUGAUAAUCUUGUAAAGUCAAUUUUAUCCGUUAUCGGAUAUGUCCUUGUUCGUCUUUGACAUUUUUAGUGAUCUUGAAGUAAUAUGAUGAAUGUUAUCAUUUAA